rnacentral:rRNA from 1 species
AGCUUGCUCUUCUUGGAUGAGUUGCGAACGGGUGAGUAACGCGUAGGUAACCUGCCUUGUAGCGGGGGAUAACUAUUGGAAACGAUAGCUAAUACCGCAUAACAAUGGAUGACACAUGUCAUUUAUUUGAAAGGGGCAAUUGCUCCACUACAAGAUGGACCUGCGUUGUAUUAGCUAGUAGGUGAGGUAAUGGCUCACCUAGGCGACGAUACAUAGCCGACCUGAGAGGGUGAUCGGCCACACUGGGACUGAGACACGGCCCAGACUCCUACGGGAGGCAGCAGUAGGGAAUCUUCGGCAAUGGGGGCAACCCUGACCGAGCAACGCCGCGUGAGUGAAGAAGGUUUUCGGAUCGUAAAGCUCUGUUGUAAGUCAAGAACGGGUGUGAGAGUGGAAAGUUCACACUGUGACGGUAGCUUACCAGAAAGGGACGGCUAACUACGUGCCAGCAGCCGCGGUAAUACGUAGGUCCCGAGCGUUGUCCGGAUUUAUUGGGCGUAAAGCGAGCGCAGGCGGUUUGAUAAGUCUGAAGUUAAAGGCUGUGGCUCAACCAUAGUUCGCUUUGGAAACUGUCAAACUUGAGUGCAGAAGGGGAGAGUGGAAUUCCAUGUGUAGCGGUGAAAUGCGUAGAUAUAUGGAGGAACACCGGUGGCGAAAGCGGCUCUCUGGUCUGUAACUGACGCUGAGGCUCGAAAGCGUGGGGAGCGAACAGGAUUAGAUACCCUGGUAGUCCACGCCGUAAACGAUGAGUGCUAGGUGUUGGAUCCUUUCCGGGAUUCAGUGCCGCAGCUAACGCAUUAAGCACUCCGCCUGGGGAGUACGACCGCAAGGUUGAAACUCAAAGGAAUUGACGGGGGCCCGCACAAGCGGUGGAGCAUGUGGUUUAAUUCGAAGCAACGCGAAGAACCUUACCAGGUCUUGACAUCCCGAUGCUAUUUCUAGAGAUAGAAAGUUACUUCGGUACAUCGGUGACAGGUGGUGCAUGGUUGUCGUCAGCUCGUGUCGUGAGAUGUUGGGUUAAGUCCCGCAACGAGCGCAACCCCUAUUGUUAGUUGCCAUCAUUCAGUUGGGCACUCUAGCGAGACUGCCGGUAAUAAACCGGAGGAAGGUGGGGAUGACGUCAAAUCAUCAUGCCCCUUAUGACCUGGGCUACACACGUGCUACAAUGGUUGGUACAACGAGUUGCGAGUCGGUGACGGCGAGCUAAUCUCUUAAAGCCAAUCUCAGUUCGGAUUGUAGGCUGCAACUCGCCUACAUGAAGUCGGAAUCGCUAGUAAUCGCGGAUCAGCACGCCGCGGUGAAUACGUUCCCGGGCCUUGUACACACCGCCCGUCACACCACGAGAGUUUGUAACACCCGAAGUCGGUGAGGU